UGGAUCCAGACUUUGAUCCUGGCUCAGGAUGAACGCUAGCUACAGGCUUAACACAUGCAAGUCGAGGGGAAACGAUAUUGGAAGCUUGCUUCCGAUAGGCGUCGACCGGCGCACGGGUGAGUAACGCGUAUCCAACCUGCCCACCACUUGGGGAUAACCUUGCGAAAGUAAGACUAAUACCCAAUGAUAUCUCUAGAAGGCAUCUGAAAGAGAUUAAAGAUUUAUCGGUGAUGGAUGGGGAUGCGUCUGAUUAGCUUGUUGGCGGGGUAACGGCCCACCAAGGCAACGAUCAGUAGGGGUUCUGAGAGGAAGGUCCCCCACAUUGGAACUGAGACACGGUCCAAACUCCUACGGGAGGCAGCAGUGAGGAAUAUUGGUCAAUGGACGAGAGUCUGAACCAGCCAAGUAGCGUGCAGGAUGACGGCCCUAUGGGUUGUAAACUGCUUUUAUAAGGGAAUAAAGUGAGUCUCGUGAGACUUUUUGCAUGUACCUUAUGAAUAAGGACCGGCUAAUUCCGUGCCAGCAGCCGCGGUAAUACGGAAGGUCCGGGCGUUAUCCGGAUUUAUUGGGUUUAAAGGGAGCGUAGGCCGGAGAUUAAGCGUGUUGUGAAAUGUAGACGCUCAACGUCUGCACUGCAGCGCGAACUGGUUUCCUUGAGUACGCACAAAGUGGGCGGAAUUCGUGGUGUAGCGGUGAAAUGCUUAGAUAUCACGAAGAACUCCGAUUGCGAAGGCAGCUCACUGGAGCGCAACUGACGCUGAAGCUCGAAAGUGCGGGUAUCGAACAGGAUUAGAUACCCUGGUAGUCCGCACGGUAAACGAUGGAUGCCCGCUGUUGGUCUGAAUAGGUCAGCGGCCAAGCGAAAGCAUUAAGCAUCCCACCUGGGGAGUACGCCGGCAACGGUGCAACUCAAAGGAAUUGACGGA
rnacentral:rRNA from 1 species